rnacentral:rRNA from 1 species
UACAGAGGUGCCAAGCGUUGUUCGGAUUUAUUGGGCGUAAAGGGUGCGUAGGCGGUCAUAUAAGUCGGGUGUGAAAUACCGGAGCCUAACUCCGGAAUGGCAUUCGAAACUAUAUGGCUAGAGAUCUGCAGAGGUGAUUGGAAUUCUCGGUGUAGCAGUGAAAUGCGUAGAUAUCUGGAGGAACACCGGUGGCGAAGGCGGCAUCCUGGACCGGCAUUGACGCUGAGGCGCGAAAGCCAGGGGAGCAAACGGG